rnacentral:lncRNA from 1 species
UGGUGGCGGUGGUGGUGGAGGUGAAGGACCGUAAACGUGAGGUGGCGGUGGUGGGUGAGGAGCAUAUGGGUCUGCUACUGGUGGUGGUGGUGGUGGAGGACUUGGACCUGGACCUGGACGGUGGUGUCUAUGAAAUGCCAUGUUUUUGAAAGUUAGGUGAUCAAUACAAAGUGUUGUGCUGUUGUUUUUGUUUUAAGGGAUUUGGAGUUGUUCGUAUGUACACUAGAAACAUGUAUUUCCUUUGACGGUUUGUUGGAUGACGUGCAGAUGUUUGUGCCUCGGCUUCCUCAGCCAAUCAGAAUUUUAUUUUUGUCAAAAUUCGUUUCGUCUCCUCAUAUACUCCGUUUCAAGAGUGCAUAAUAUUUUAUUGACUAUUAUUAUUAUUAUUAUUAUUAUUAUUAUUAUUAUUAUUAUUAUUAUUAUUAUUAUUAUUAUUAUUAUUAUUAUUAUUAUUAUUAUUAUUAUUAUUAUUAUUAUUAUUGGUUUUGACUAUUUUAUGAUGUUUAGACUUUAGACUACAAGAUAUGAUGUCAAAAAUAGACCCAUGUAUAAUAAUAUUAUGUUGUUAUCUUUCAUUUUGAUAACAAAAUCUCUUCGUAUCAUCGCAGAUUAUUCAUUUUCAUUUUACGAAAAGUAAAAAAAAAAAGCAUGGUUGUAAAGAAACUGCACCAUUAAUUAAAUCGUGAAAAUAUUAUUAAUCAUUACUAUAUGAUUUUCUAACUUUCUAAUACCAGUAACCAUAUUAUAAUAUACUAACACACUUUUUUUUCAAUUACACCAAAUUAUUAUUAUUAUUAUUUUCAUAAUAAAUUGAAGCUGUAAUAAUAUUUUUAGCACCAUUCCAAUUUAUUCAAUAAAUAUAUAAUUUAUUAUUUUAUAAAAUAGGCGGCCUCUAACUCUAGUUGAAAAAAAAAGGAAAAAAAAUUGAAUCGAGAACAUGUUUGAGAAUACAACAAAAAUUAUACCAUUCAAAGAAAAAUUAUAAAACCUAAGGGGUAUUAACAAAAAUUCCUUGGACUAGGCCAGGCAAUGUCUGCCACUGGUGGAAAGUAGAUAUUUAUUUGCAUUUGUGGUUGUAAUCGAAAAUGGUAGGGAUAGUGAAUCUUUUAGGUGUAUUUCUUACGGGUGUCGUAAUUUUGACAUCGACUAAAACUUGUUUAAAUUUUGACAUUUUUAUUAGUGCAUUGAAUGUAACGUGUUGCUAUUACGAUGUAGGGAUGGCAAUAGGGAGGGGAGGGGAGGGGACCAAUCUCCCUAUACCCAUUCCUGAUAUUUUGUUAUGUCCCCGUUCCCUCCGCGUCCCCGUCAGAAUUGCUUAAGAGAAUCUUUAUCCCCUCUCUGAAUAAUAACAGGGGAUCCCCGAGGGUCCCCGGUCCCCGAAUAACUAAUAGUCUAAUACAUUUUUUUUUAUUUUUUUUUAAAUUAAUCAUAUUAAAAUAAAAAAUUCAGAUAAAAAUAAAGUUUAAAAUAUAUCUUGCAUUAAUAUUGAUCCAUUACAAAGUCACAUUCAAAAUAUAAAUUAUUAAAAUAAUUAUCUUUGUCAAUGACUCAAUCUUCAUAAUCCUACAAUAAAAAGAAAAAAAAUUAUUUUUAUAUCGGUAAUAAAAUAAAUAAAAUAAAUGUAGAUACUUAAUUAAUAUUUUUAAUAAAACUAUUUACCUCCUGCUCCUCCUGUUCUUCCUCGAGAAAUGUGGCAAAUUGAGAGCUAGUCUCAGAUUUCAAACCUAAAACAAUGAAAAUGAUAUAAGUAACGUAACUUAUAAGUGCAAAUAUUAAUUACUGUAUAAUAUAAUUACAAUGUAAAAUAAACUCAUACUGCUAUUGUAAGCUCGUAACCAACUUUGACAGCACAUUAAGGCCUCCAAUGUGUUUGGAUGAAGUUUGUUACGGUGUGCACUCACAACUCUACCACCGGUGCUAAAAGCUGAUUCAGAAGCAACUGUUGUAAUUGGAAUUGCCAAAAUAUCUCUAGCAAUUCGAGCUAAUGUAGGAUUCGAAUUAGGAUUAGAACUGUUGUAAAUUAUAAUUAGGCAGCUCUCUCCUGUAUCAUUGUGGUUUAGAUUAAAAAUUUAAGACUUUAAUUAGUUAAUUAAGUUUAAAAGUUUAAUAAUAUAACUAUUUUAAUAUUUAUUAUUUUUAACAAUAUUUAUAAUUUUGUUAUUUAUUUAUUAGUAAUUUUAAAAAUAAAAAUAAAAUUAAAAAUUAAAAUGGGGAAAUGGGUAGGGGAUGGGGAUUCCACCUCAUCCCCGUCCCCUCCCCGAAUAAAAAAUUGGGUAAAAAUUUUUCCCGUCCUCUCCCCGAAUAAAAAAUUGGGUAUAAAAUUAUCCCCGUACCCCCCCCCCCCCCGAAUGAGGAAAAUCCCCGAGGGUACCCGUCCCCGUGGGAAUUUUUGUCAUCCCUAUUACGAUGUCACGAAGUCAAGACUCUGUCCUGCUUUCUGCUUCGGCGUUUGUGAUUUGGCUUUGCCAACACCUUCUUCCCUUUCUAAUAUUGUAUUUCCUCCUAUGGUAGGGUGAAUAUUUACUAAUGCUGCAGUGCACACGUCACGAGAACUGGGCUUUCGGUUUGCACAGAUCGAACCCUGGGCUCUUGUUAAGUUUUAGCGCCCCCCCCCCCCCCCCCCAAUACCCAAAUACCAUCCAAACGGAUAAAUAACAACAAUGGAAAAUUCUCAUAGCACCUCUUUUAAAUUUUAUUUUUUUUUCCUAAAAAAUGAUGCUAUAAAAAAAAAACCAUAAUUUUUACUCUUCGAACCUAUCUUUAUAUUCAACGUAAUUUUAUUAAAUCCUAAAUAUAUUCUCAAGCAAUGGAUUUUUGUAAUCAUGUUUGUUCUUUUGCUGGAAUUUAAAUUGCAAUGGCAGCUAGGGGUGGGCAAUUUAUUCGACCUGAUCCAAUCCGAUUAAAAAAAAAUCAAGUUAGGAUCGGAUCAGAUGGAAGAUAAUAUCCGAACGGGUUGGCUAAAAAAAAAAACACACGCAAGACACUCAAACACCACCCACUCAUUCACACAGUCACACCACUCUCAGCCCACUCAAACUCAAACCUACAACAAUGAGCAGCCUACAGCCAACACUCUCGUCUCUCUCAACUCAACUUCACUACUUCAGUUCUCAUCUCGCUCUCGUCUCUCUCUCAAGUCUCAACUCUCGAGAUUCAAGAAAGAAAAUAGAAUUGUGACAAACACACUCUAAAAUAUUUUGCAAAGAAAUAUCAAAUGGAUGAAAAGAUAUAAAUGAAGGAUUCCUAAACCAACAGAAGUGGCAGUGCCUUUCUUUAAGCGCAUUCUCAAUCUUGCACGAGUGACUGAUGUUACUUACAAGGAUGAUAAUGGCUACACCAAUUCUUAUGUGAUCAAAGACUAUAUCACCCACUGCUUGAGAAGCCUGUUCUCUUUUGAGUAGUUUUUGCGAUGCAGAUUACAUCCUAUAUAAACUAUUAAUGUUGUUUUUGGAAUAAGCUCUGAAAUUUGUUCCUCAGAGAGCUUUUUUGCUGCUGUCAUCACAAUUAUCAAAUUCUUCCGUACAAUUAGUAAAGGCUUCCCUGUUUAUAUAUAUAUAAAUAAAAGAAAUCACCCAACAUAGUGUUGUUUAACUGAAAAAGGAAAUUCAAGCAUCCAAAAUCAAAAUAUCCAAAAUGAAAAUAAGGUACCUAAUACUUGAAAGAAAGGGAUAUUCAAUACCCGUUUCAAAUCGUGCAUAAUCAUCUAGCAUGGCUCUCAUUGUCCCUCUGCAGCGCCGACUUUUUCCAUUAUUUUCUGCCCUUCUUCACCUUCGUCAUGAACCGAUCAAGACCGAAUGGAUCAGCUUCUUCAGCCUCCUUCUCAAACUUAACCGGUCCGUCCCUCGUACCAGACCUCUCAGAUGUACCUGCAAAUGCCUUGUCGGGUUUAAACCGAUCAGUCUUUCUAAUCUUCUCCAACUGCUCAUCCGCAUUUGCUCCAUAAAUUUCAGCAUCAGCAUCUUUUUUGGGCCUGUAAAGGGUUGAAAGAGUCGGCUGUGCUGUAAACAAGCCUUUGUCAUACACAUUAUACUGAUCACCGUCAGUGGCAAAACCAGAGUCCAUUCCUUUCUUCUGAUUAAAAAGCCUUGCGUCAUGAGUAACCUCACCCGCUCUGCCUCCGCCACCAAAAGAGGCCAUCCCAAGGGCAACUUUCUCGCUAACAUCCCGAUCUCUGUCUCUAACAACCUUACUAUUCUUCUUCCCCAUAGCAACAUCCUUGGCCAGCAAAUUUCUCUCCCUCUUCCUCUCGCGACGUCUCUCCUCACGAAUUCUCUCCCUCUCCCUUUCCCUCUCCCUCAGCAAUCCCUGCUCGCUUUCCUUCAAUGUCUCCAUUGCCUUACGUGCUAAAUCCCGUAGCUGCUGCUCUUUCCUUUCCUUCUCCUUCGUGAGCAUCUCCAUCUGCACCUUGAAUCUUAUUUCAAUUGCCUCCCUCGCCUUCUGCUCUGCCAAAUAAAGAGCCUCCGACAAUUUAGCAAAUCCCUCAUUUACCUGAACCUCCAGAAGCCCUCUUCCUUCGGCAGCGAGCUGCUUAUCCAGCGGAAUUGUAAACCGCUGUGGGUUCUUCCAAUUUGAUAUACAUGGUGGGAUUCUCCAAUCCAGCUGAUCUUUCACAGUCAUAGGCCUAGGAGGGGAAUGCAUGACCGGUACUGGCGGAGAUCCCGAAGCUUUCGGCACACGCUUGUGCUUCAACUUUGGUGGCUCAAGUGGGUCCAAAGGCAUCGCCACCACUCUCAAAAUCCUCCUUUUUAGGGAUGGCAAUGAAUUGGAUUUGAUCCAAGAUCCAUGUAAUUCAAAUCCAAUCGGAUCGGAUUUGGAUCGGUUUAAAAUAGAUUUGGAUCAGAUGUGCGGAUUUAAGACGAAUCUGGAGUAGAUAUGGAUCUAUCGUAAUAUUUAAAUCCAUAUUCAUAUCCACUCAUCUUUUAAUUUUAUUUUAUUUUAAAAGUUUCUUAAUAAUUGUGGAAUGAUAAUAUGAUAAUAAAUUUUAUUCAUAGCAUAUAUAGUAGUAUUUACCAUGUAUUUAAACUCUUUUUUUUUUUUAGAAGAAUGUAUUUAAACUCUUAAAACUUAAAGGUUAGUUUUGUAAAUUUAAAGGUCAGCCAGCCUCAAAGCAUGUACAUGCAAUAUUCAAAUUGCAAUCCAAGUAAUAUAACCUGGUAAUUUAUUUUAUCAUAUUGGCCAAAUAAUUUUUAAGGAAUAUAGUUAUUCAUAUAUUUAGUCAAAUAUGGUCAUAAUAAAAAUAAUAAAGGACUGAAUAUAAAUCAUAUUUAAUUUAUAUGUCAUUAUUUAAUGUUGUAGGAAUGAGGGUAGGUGUAUCGUGGAUAUUAGAAUGAUGAAGGAGACAAUAGAAUAUUAGAUUGAUCUUACUCCUGCAAUUACUUCUAAAUGAUAUUUUAUUAUCUUUCUUAUUUGUUGUUUUGGUAUAAAAGUAUAAGCUACAAUAUUUAUUAUAUUUUUUAGAAAAAUUAUAUAAUUUAUUUGUUAUCAAUACAUUUUAGCCUUCAAUUUUCAAUCUAAAAAAUUAUUACUUUUUUAUUACGGAAUUUUAGAAUUCAUGAUGGAUCUAGAGCAGAUUUGGAUUUUAAUUUUUUUUCAGAUUUGGAGCGGAUAUAGAUAUUUAUUUCUUUUUUGGAUCUGGAUAUGGAGCGAAAAAUAUGGAUUCAUAACAGAUCUGGAGCAGAUAUGGAUCUUGAUUUUUAUUAUGGAUUUGGAUCUGGAACAAAUACGGAUCUUAAUUUUUAUUAUAGAUUUGGAUCUGGAGCAAAAUAAAUCCAACACAUAUCUACCUCAUUGCCAUCCCUACUCCUUUUAGCCCCAGAAUAGAAGUCCACCGAUUGUUGUGAUGGUCUGUACAUAAUAAAUUUGGACUCUAAUGACUGCGUAGGUGCAGCAUUCACAACACUGUUAACAAUCUUUUCAAGUUCAGCUUUUGUUACAGGAGUAGUCACGUCAAUCUCAUCUUCUUGAUCAGGAAAAGCGCUACCAUCAUCAUCAUCGAAAUCCUCAAGUUUCCGUGGAAGUAUCACCAUGUUACAAAGAUUUCUUGCUUGUCAAUCAAGCCUGUGAUUAGUCCCAAGCAAUUUAAGGGUUCCUCAAGGGCUGAAAAAGAAUCUUGUGUUUUUUGUUAUCGUACACAACCAGCAAAUUUCUCUCCCAGUAGCGGCGACUCUGUUUUAAGAUUUGCUAAUGCUAUGCUAGUUUGCUAACUUGUAGCGGAGGUAAUCUCACUAAUGCUAAAACUAGAUAUCCUGAUGUAAAAACUUUAAACACAAAAAAAGUGCUCGUUUUGAAAAAUUAUUUGAGAUUACAACCUUAUUUAUUAGUUUUAAUUAUUACUCAAAAAAGCUAUUACAAUAAUUGAAAUCCUAGUCAAAACUAAAAUAAUAAUAAAAACUAAUUAAUAUGGCAACAGAUAAGACAAAUCCUAAACAAAUUAGAAAUACCAAUUAAAAAGAGGAAAAUUUCGGAUUAGAACAAAAAGAAAGGGCAAUAAUCUUUAUCCGUAUCCGUAGAAAAUAAGGAAAAUUUUUUAUGUAGAUAAUAAAGACUUGCCCACGGUAGUGUCCUAAGAAAGUAAGGAAAACCAAUCUAUAUAAAGAGACUUGCCUGUGCUUGUCGAAAAGCAUUAUACCUUCUUCUUUUAAUUAGCCUGCUAGCUAGCUCCUUAGUAAUCAGUCCCAAAUUUUCAGCUUUCUUAACUUCUUCUCCGUUACCUUAUUCAUCAUCUUCAUUAAAACAAGAAAACAGGAGAAAAAAAAUGCCUGGUGUUUCAAGAAUUGAUAAGGGUAAUGGCAGAGUGUACCCUGGAUACCUUACCCCAUUCGUCGCAAUCACAUGUAUCGUUGCUGCCAUGGGUGGCCUCAUCUUUGGUUACGACAUUGGGAUUUCUGGUAAAUAUAUUUAUACUUACAUACAUAUUAACUAGCUAAUUAAGUACUGUAGUAUUGUGAAUUAUGAGUUAUGCUGACGGUUUAAUCAAAAUAUUAACCUAGCUAACUGCAUAAAUAAUAUAACGCAGGUGGUGUGACCUCAAUGCCUUCGUUUUUGAAGAGUUUUUCCCAUCGGUGUACGAGAAGCAACAAGUAAACUCGUCAGCGAAUCAGUACUGUCAAUAUAACAGCGAGUCGUUGACUUUGUUCACGUCUUCGCUAUACUUGGCUGCUUUGAUAGCAUCGCUUGUAGCAUCAUCGGUGACAAGGAAAUUCGGAAGAAAGUGGUCCAUGUUAUUCGGUGGGGUUCUGUUUCUUGCUGGUACAUUAAUCAAUGGCUUGGCCCAAGACGUUUGGAUGCUUAUUGUUGGCCGUCUUUUGCUCGGUUUCGGUAUCGGCUUCGCUAAUCAGUCUGUGCCACUCUACCUCUCUGAGAUGGCCCUCUAAAUACAGAGGAGCCUUGAACAUUGGGUUUCAAUUGUCAAUCACCGUUGGAAUUUUAGUGGCCAACCUGUUGAAUUUUUUCUUUGCUAAGAUUAAGGGUGGCUGGGGAUGGCGUUUGAGCUUAGGUGGUGCCAUGGUCCCUGCCCUUAUCAUCACCGUCGGUUCAGUUUUCCUCCCGGACACACCAAAUUCAAUGAUUGAACGCGGCCAGCACGAUGAAGCCAGAAAGCAACUUAGAAAAGUUCGCGGUGUUAAUGAUGUUGACGGAGAAUUUAAUGAUCUUGUUGCAGCCAGUGAAGCAUCCAAGCAAGUUGAACAUCCUUGGAGGAAUUUGUUGAGAAGGAAAUAUAGGCCUCACCUUACCAUGGCUGUUCUGAUUCCCUUCUUCCAGUAAUUCACUGGCAUUAAUGUUAUCAUGUUUUACGCUCCUAUUUUGUUCGACACAAUUGGUUUCGGCAAUGAUGCAUCACUCAUGUCCGCUGUGAUCACCGGUCUUGUCAAUGUUUCCGCAACAUUCGUAUCAAUUUGUACUGUCGACAAGUGGGGAAGAAGACGUCUUUUCCUUGAAGGUGGUGCUCAAAUGUUAAUCUGCCAGGCCGUUGUUGCUGCUUGCAUCGGUUAUAAAUUUGGAGUUGAUGGGAAUCCUGGAGAGUUGCCUGUUGAUGCUUAAAUCUGCUCGCCUUUAGACCGACCAGAUUCUUUCACCAACGUUUGUGUUAUCUACUGUUGCUCGUUCACUGGGAUUGGAAUCGUCCUUCUUUCUCACAAUAGACCUGCGCUCACCAAAAACGGAUCAGAGACGCCGGUGGUUUUGCCGGCGUAAACCCUCCGAUGCUUAAGUUAGCUCAAGGUGUUUACGGGAAAACAGUGCAAUUUAGAUCUCAAAAUGGUUUCUAAAUUAUUCGGAGUUUAUAAGAAAAUAGCCUGAUUUCAAUUUGGCAGCGUUUCCCCUCUCUCAAUUUUUCCAUCCCCUUCUUCAUCGAUUUCUUCUUCUUUUAUAGCCGAUGUCCCCACGUUCCCGCUUGCCCUUCAUCCCACCUUUUUUGGGUAGUGGUAGCCUCUCAUGGGGCUCUAACUGCUGCAUUAUGGGCAAACGUGGGAUCUCGCGUCUCCCGCAACGGUUCUGGGAAAGCACAACUACCGUGAUUCUGUGAGAUCGUGUUUCCGCUUUUCGGGGGACGGGUACCGGCUCGGUAUGUGGCUCUGGUCAGUAUUCGUCUCUGAUCGACUCAUGUUACCCCUGUUCUGCUCGUACCAUUUGGCUGAGGUGAUUCAUGCCGGGGUGGAAGUAGUAUCCUGGCCGACCUGGUGCUUUUAUUUGCUUAACACCAGUCCCCCAGUUUCUGGUCUUGUGAGUGAAAUGAGUCAAGAGUAGAAACUGAUAGUCGACUCUUACCAAUCCGGGGGUUUCUCCUCUGGUCUUCUGUCUACCGGGACGAACCUGAGCAAUUCAUUUUUCUUCGGGUGAGAUUUUGAUCUGGGCGUGGGCCUAAAUGAGCAUGUCCACUGCGCACCUGGGCUUGCAUCUAGCCCGGCCUCUUGUAACGGUUGGUGACAUGGCAUCUCCCGAUUCUUCGCAUUUGAAAUUUGAAACGACGGGCUAUCUGUCCUCGAUGUACGGUGAGUGAGCUGGCGUCCCCAUCACUUAAAUGCUUCCAUUUCCCCCCUUUUCGUUUUAAAUCCCUAGACUGGAGUCUUCACCAUCUUGUUACUCGUUUCUCCACCGUUAACCAAAUUUUCUCUGGACUUUGCUCACACUUCCAGCGUCCGGAGUAUCCAUUUGCUGGGUGUUUUCUCUGUCGCGGCGGCUCUAUCAGUGUCAGUCUAUUCCAGGUAUAGCCUUUAACAUUUUCUUCGGCUGUUGUUGAUUGGGUUCUGUGUUGCCCCUUUGUGUCCAUAUACUCGAGUUUUCUCUGUCUUCUUUUGGGAUUCCGGUAUGUCAAAUCGGAAGAGGAAGUUAAUUGUUGAUGAGGGUGAUGACGAAUCAGGGGAUUCAGGCCUCAACGUGCCAAUACCCACCGAUUUUUUAGGUCCCUCCAGUAGUGUAGGUCCUCCUCAUGGUAGGGAUACCCUUGAGUACCCACGCCCCCUGGUUGUCUCUCCCUCUCCCGAAUUAAAGCUUGUAGGAAAUAGGGGUGGACCUGCGUCGGGCUCUGGUGAGAACCACAGCUUUGGUGGGGUUGGGAUCCCUGAAGGAGUUGGUGAUGGUAAGGGGAGCAGUUCCGGACCGAGCAGACCUGCUCAGAAAAGGAACCUAGGCCAUAGGGUGGAGGCUGAUUCCUACCCUAUUGAUUUCAUGGCUUGUGCCACCACCCCCACCGAUCUAUUUAAACUUAGGAAUCUCUACAACAUCCCCAACGAGGUUCUUCUUGUAGUUCCUGGAAAAGGUGAUGUCCCUAGUCGGCCUCCGAAAUGGUAUGUGACGAUGCACUUGGAGAGUUUCAGACUAGGAGCUCGGCUACCCCUUCAACCUUACUUUGCCAAGAUACUGGGCGGUAUGCACCUGGCCCCAGGUCAGCUAUACCCAAAUGGGUGGAGGGUUCUCUCGGCAAUGUUUGUGUUGUGGGAGAGGUGCGGGUCGGAGGAGCCUUCUCUUGUUGAAGUGAAACAUCUGUACCAGCUGCGGAGUAGCCCGAAGGAGGCAGGCUGGUACUAUUUCAUGUCCAGUUCCGCAAAGAGGAAACCGAUCACUGGGUUUCCAUCUUCAUGUAAAAAUUGGAAGAACAAAUUCUUCUUUGCUGGAGGGAACUGGUGUCCAGCGGUUCAGUCGCUUGGUGGGGACAUUUAUCUUCCCACCCAUUUUGUCACUCCAGGUCGUUCAUUUUUGCCUAUAUUCUUUCUCAAAUUGCCACUCAUUGGGUUCUUUAACCUUGUUUGUUUUUUCAGAAUCGUGGGGUUUGGUGAAGGAUCUUGAAGACCGACCUUUGCUUCAGGUGGAAACUGCUCUGUUGAACGCGUCUACUUGCCAAGACCUCCUGUCGCCAACAAACUUGGUCGGUUCCCGCUUAGUAGAUAUUGCCACUGGAAUGGAUAACAAGAUCCUCAGCGCGUUGAGCAGAAAGCGUGGUCGGGCUCCGAGUAGCUCCAGCAACCCUCCUCCUCCUCCAAAGAAACCCAUCGUCGGUCCUUCCAAGGCGCCAGUUCCUGCUCUGCCCCCUCCUCCACCUCGAAAGAGUGGUGGGGAUAAAACCUCCGACAAGAGUCCUGAGGUCAGCUUGCAGUCUGGGGACCGCUCUUCUCCUCUUCCAUCUCGGGAUCAAGGUGACUACCUGAGCCCAUAUCAGAAGGAUUACAGAAAAUCGGUUGGGCCCAAGAUGGUGAAGGACAUCGAGAGCAUGAGCCUCUCCGAGUUAGCUGUUUCUGUUCAAAGAGUCUCCUUCAGGCUGGCCACAAUGGUCUCGUGCUACAAGACCGGGUCCGCGCGUCAUGAGAGGAAGCUCCAAGCUGAUAACCAGGAGUUGAAAAAGAAAGUCGAAUCUGCUGACCGUUCCAAGGAGAAACUGGCCGAGCUGAACAAGCAGCUUACGGAGCUUGAGGAGAAAGUUGCUGUUGCUGAGUCCACUUCCUCCAAGCUUGAGGAUGAGUUGGGUGAUCUGAAGUCCGAUCUUCAGGCUACCCAAAGUGAAAGGGAUACUCUGAGGGUCGCCCUUGAAGGAGAGAUCAAAUCCCUGAAGGACCAGCUGGCUGAGGAGAAAAGCAAAUCAGCUGACGUGGAUGAUCGGCUGGAUGCCGAGUAUGACUCCGGGGUUGCUUUCAGCUAUAAGUGCAUCAUGUCUGUGCUUAAGGAAGAAUAUCACGAGCUCGACAUGAGCAAGCUGGAAUCUGGGGUGGAGAGGUAUAUGGCUGGGGCCGGCUAGGGAGAUAAGGAGCAGGUGGAGGUUCCUUUUGAUGAGGUGCGGGAGGAAGGAGCUGGUCAGUGUGUUUUUGAAGUGGGACAAGGGUACGCGCCUCCUCCUCCCGUUAUUGCUGAUCUUCCACCUCCCGAGAUAGCCGACGCUUCUCCUGCUGAGGCCGUUGACCUUCCUAAUCCUUAGGUCUAUUUUUGUAAAAAACUCUAGAUUGUUAUUCGCUUUGUAAACAUUUGAACAUUUAUAAAUUUUUAAAUGCUCUCAAUUGGCUUUCUUGUCUGGUUUUGCUCACGGGUUGCUUCUGCAAAACAACUUGGCAAUUUAUCUGAUUUUGCCUGUUGGUUUUUUAGUGCAUUGAGCAGGAAUAGGCAUCCGUUUGCCUUAGCGAAAUUUUCGCAAAAUUGCCUGCUGGUCUUCGAUGACCGAGCAGGAGCGGACACUUAUUUGCCUUAGUAGAAUUGUCGUAAAUUUAGCUGCUGUUUUUCGUUGACCGAGCAGAGGUAGGCACUUAGUCGAAUUUUCGUAGCUUUAGCUGCUGGUCUUUCGUUGACCGAGCAGAAGAAGGCACUGAUUUGCCUUUGUAGAAUUUCCGUAGCUUUAGCUGCUGGUCUUUCGUUGACCGAGUAGAAGUAGGCACUUGCCUUAAUCGAAUUUUCGUAGCUUUAGCUGCUGGUCUUUCAUUGACCGAGCAGAAGUAGGCACUGAUUUGCCUUUGUAGAAUUUCCGUAGCUUUAGCUGCUGGUCUUUCGUUGACCGAGCAGAAGUAGGCACUUGCCUUAGUCGAAUUUUCGUAGCUUUAGCUGCUGGUCUUUCGUUGACCGAGCAGAAAUAGGCACUUUGUUGCCUUAGUAGAAUUGUCGAAGCUUUAGCUGCUGGUCUUUCGGUGACCGAGCAGAAACAGGCACUUUAUUGCCUUAGUAGGAUUUUUUGCAGAAUUAGCUGCUGGUCUUUAGUGGACCGAGCAGAAGUUGGCACUUACUUGCCUUAGUAGAAUCUUCGUAGGUUUAGCUGCUGGUCUUUCGUUGACCGAGCAGAAGUAGGCACUUACUUGCCUUAGUAGAAACUUCGUAAAUUUAGCUGCUGGUCUUUCGUUGACCGAGCAGAAGUAGGCACUUGCCUAGGUAAAACUUUUAUUGAUUAGACUAGCAGGGGGAUUUCAUGCUGAAUUCAUCUUUAUUUGAAAUUUGAAAGCAUUACAAGAAUACUGGAUACAUACAUGUGCAGCAAAGCCAUGAUGCAGUUAACAUUGAUAUCUUGUCAAAAUGGAGAUUUAGUAGAGCACUUUGCUUACUGGAAAUACUUCUUCAAGUGUUCGGCGUUCCAUGACCUCUUCACUUCUCGUCCAUCUUGGUGUGCUAAUUUAUAGGCUCCUGGUCCAGUGGCUCGUAUCACCCGGUACGGGCCUUCCCACUUUGGGCCAAGAGCGCCAUGAUUAGGAUCCCUGGUGUUCUGGUUCACCUUCCUAAGUACCCAAUCUCCUGCUCGGAACUGCCUCACGCGCACGUUCUUGUUGUAAUAACGCAUGACCCUUUGUUGGCACUGGGCCACUUUCUGCACUGCCCCUUCCCUUUUCUCCUCCAGCAGGUCCAGACUUAAGCAAAUCUGCUCGUCAUUUUGCUCCUUAGUGAAAUAUUCCGUCCGAUGUGUUCUCACUCCAACCUCUGCUGGGAUUACCGCCUCAUGACCAAAGGCUAAAGCGAACAGUGUUUCUCCUGUGGUGGUUUUGUGAGUUGUCCUGUAGGCCCACAGUACUCCUGGUAGCUCGUCAACCUAAGCUCCCUUCUUCUCUCCCAAUCUAGUCUUUAGGAGCUUCUUUAUCACCUUGUUGGCUGCUUCCACUUGUCCGUUUGCCUGGGGGUGUGCGGGGGUGCAGAACUUCAGGUCCACCCCCAGGUUUCGGCAAAAUUCCCUGAAGUUGCCGUUGUCAAAUUGCCUCCCAUUGUCCGUGAUGAUGGCGUAGGGGAUCCCAUAUUUGCAGAUGAUAUUCUUCCAAAUAAAAUCUGUUGUCUUCCUCUCCGUGAUCUGGCUGAGGACUCCUACUUCCACCCACUUGGUGAAGUAGUCUAUUGCCACAAUUGCAUGUGUCGCCGCUCCUCGUCCCUUAGGCAAUGGACCAAUCAAGUCGAUUCCCCAUUGAGCGAAAGGCCAUGGGGAUGUCAUAGCCGUCAGCUUUUCCGGGGGUUGUGCAGGAACCUCGGAGAAGCUUUGGCAUGUUUUACAAUUCUUUGCCAUCCUUUUGGCAUCCUGGUGCAUGGUUGGCCAGAAGUAUCCUUGCCGGAGUGCCUUGAAGGCUAAAGUUCUUGCUCCCGAGCGAUUGCCGCAUAUUCCCUCGUGAAUCUCUCUCAGCACAUAAUCCGCCUCCUCAUCAUCCAAACAUCUCAAAAGGGGCAAGGUGAACCCUCGGCGGUACAGCACUCCAUCCAGUAGCGUAUACCUUGCUGCUCGGCAUUUUAAUUUUCUUGCUUGCCUUUUGUCCUAUGGUAAAACUCCAUCGCGGACAUAUGCGCGAAUCGGGUCCAUCCAGGAUUCUCCAGUACUUACUCUCAUCACCUCUGCUUCUUCCUCAAUACUUGGUGAGGUCCUUACCUCUAGUGGAACUGACUUCGGUAACUUUGGAUCUGCAAUGGCUGCCAUCCUAGCCAGCAUAUCUGCUCGGAAAUUCUCAUUCCGGGAUAUCUGCUUUACCUCCACUGCUUGGAAAAGCCCAACCAUCUGCUUCGCCUUCUUUAAAUAAAGACCCAUCUUCUCUCCCCUUGCUUGGAACUGAUCAUUGAGCUGAUUACACACCAGUUGGGAAUCUGCUCGAAUUUCUACCCUCUCUGCUCUUAGAGCGUGUGCAAGUCCGAGCCCGGUGAUAAAGGCCUCAUAUUCAGCUUGGUUGUUUGUGAGCUGAAAGUCAAACUUCACUGCAUACGUUAUUUCGGUUCCUUCUAGGCUCUGUAUUACAACUCCUGCUCCGGAUCCUUGCUCACUACAUGAUCCGUCAACCAUUACCAACCACAACCCCUCUGGUUUCUCCUGCUCUGCUGCUUGCUCCUCCCGAAUUUCUUUCCCUGUAUCGGCUCGGUCAACCAUAAAUUCAGCCAGAGCUUGGGCCUUGAUUGCUCCUCGGGGCCUGUAAGAGAGGUCGAAUUCACUUAGCUCUACGGACCAUUUUACUAGUCGACCCGAUGCAUCUGGUUUUUGAAGUGUUUGCCGAAGGGGCUGGUCGGUCAUAACAAUAACCUGAUGGGCCUGAAAAUAUGGUCGAAGUUUUCGUGCUGCCGUUAUUAGAGCUAGCGCCCACUUCUCCANNNNNNNNNNNNNNNNNNNNNNNNNNNNNNNNNNNNNNNNNNNNNNNNNNNNNNNNNNNNNNNNNNNNNNNNNNNNNNNNNNNNNNNNNNNNNNNNNNNNNNNNNNNNNNNNNNNNNNNNNNNNNNNNNNNNNNNNNNNNNNNNNNNNNNNNNNNNNNNNNNNNNNNNNNNNNNNNNNNNNNNNNNNNNNNNNNNNNNNNNNNNNNNNNNNNNNNNNNNNNNNNNNNNNNNNNNNNNNNNNNNNNNNNNNNNNNNNNNNNNNNNNNNNNNNNNNNNNNNNNNNNNNNNNNNNNNNNNNNNNNNNNNNNNNNNNNNNNNNNNNNNNNNNNNNNNNNNNNNNNNNNNNNNNNNNNNNNNNNNNNNNNNNNNNNNNNNNNNNNNNNNNNNNNNNNNNNNNNNNNNNNNNNNNNNNNNNNNNNNNNNNNNNNNNNNNNNNNNNNNNNNNNNNNNNNNNNNNNNNNNNNNNNNNNNNNNNNNNNNNNNNNNNNNNNNNNNNNNNNNNNNNNAGAUGCUUCACAUGAUCCGUCGUCUCUUUGGACUUUGUAAUCAUAUCAUCCACAUAUACCUCCAUAGUGUAUCCAAUCAACGGUUUGAAGAUCUUGUUUACCAACCUUUGAUAGGUGGCUCCUGCAUUUUUUAGGCCGAAAGGCAUUACCCUGUAACAAAACAAACCCAUGUUAGUUAUAAAGGCAGUGCUUUCCUCAUCCUGCUCGUCCAUGGGUAUCUGGUUGUAUCCAGAAAAGGCAUCCAUGAAACUGAGCAGACUGUGACCUGCUGUUGAGUCCACCAGCUGAUCUAUUUUGGGUAGGGGAAAACUGUCCUUUGGGCAUGCCUUAUUGAGGUCCGUGAAGUCCACACACAUUCUCCACUUCCCGUUGGCCUUUUUUACCAGGACUACAUUUGAAAUCCAUUCUGGGUACUUGGCUUCCCUUAUAAAUCCUGCUUUCAACAACUUCUCCACCUCGGCGUUUAUGGCCUCGUACCUUUCCUGGUUGCAGCAUCUCCUCUUCUGUCUCACCGGCCUUGCCCCCUUCUUGAUUGCCAACUUGUGGCAAGCUACCCCGCGAUCAAUUCCGGGCAUAUCUUCAUGAGACCAGGCGAAUAUAUCCGCAUGAGACUGUAGGCAAUUUACCAGCUCGCCUUUUACUGCCCCAAUCAAUCCUGACCCGAUCUUCACUACUCUGCUCGGGUUGCUUUUGCUUAUCGCAACUUCCUCCAGUUUCUCAACAGGCUCUUGGCGGCCCUUUUUAGACUCUCCUCGAUUAUCUAGAGAAGUAACCUGUAGUGUCUCCUUGGCCGCCGUAGCUUAACAACUCCUUGCCACCCUCUGGUCGCCUUUUACUACGCCAACCACCCCAUUUAUUCUGUAUUUCAGCGCCAAGUAAUGCGUGGAUACAACGCAUUGGCUUAUCCUCAUGAAUGGUCUCCCCAGUAUCAUCUGGUAAGGGCUUCUUUCCUCUACCACGACGAAGUCCAGCAUCAUCGUUCUUUCAAACGGCUUUGUCCCCACAAUAAUCGGGAGUUCAAUGAUCCCCAAGGGAGUUAACUGUCCCCCUCCAAAUCCUUUUAAGGAAGUAUUUGUCCGUUCCAGCUUUAAAUCUGAAAUCCCCAUAUCAUCUAGGGCUGACUUAAAUAGAAUGUCAACUGAACUGCCCGUGUCCACCAGUAUUCGCCGCAAUUCUGUGCUAGCCACCGAUGCUUUAAUUACUAGUGCAUCCUCAUGAGGAUAUAAAAUACCCUCUUCAUCCUCAUCUGUCCACAUAAUGGGAACUUGUCGCGCUUUUGCCUUCUUGGUUGCUGGCAAAUUGAAAAGCACUUCUUUGCUAGUCAGGGCGUAUCUCCCAUAGUUCUUCCGUGCCCUGUUCGAAUCUCCGGCCAAUGUUGGUCCUCCUGCUAUCACACGGAUAGUCGGCUGUUCACGUUCCAGAUCCCUCUCAACUCCCUCAUCCCGUGUGUACUGUGAUUCCAUGACAGGGGAUAUUCCAUCUACAUACUCGUCCAAGUAUCGGUUCCUCACUAAAUCCUCCACCUGAAUCUUCAGGUCACGACAUUGGCUGAUAGUGUGACCGUGAGUGUCGUGGAACUUGCAUAAUCGGCUCUUAUCCCGUCGGUGAGUCGGUUUUAUUAUUGGGGCUGGAGGGUACAACAGGCCUCGUCCCUCGAUCCUCUCAUACAAUUCCUCCAUGGAGAUCUUUAGCGGAGUGUAUUGUCUAUAUGCCAAGCUCUGGUCUACCAGCUGAACUGCUCGGCUAUCAUGAACGUCACCUCGGGAUGGCAUAGUCGCUGACUGAUCUGGUCGUCUAGCCCUGGAACUGGUUACGUGUAAUGCUCUGGGAGUGUUAUGAUAGCGGUCGGCAGCCAUCUGCCGGAAUUCUCGCUGCCGAUCCGGGAAUGGGGGACGUGGAGGUUGAGCCCGGUUGUGCUGGAACUGUUGUGAUCUCGGAGUUAUGGGGUAAGGGCGGGAUCGAGCUGAUGUUCCGCCCCUUACUGAGGGUUCCCCAGCUCGCUUUCCCGACCCGCUCCCAUUUGGAGUUCUCAUUUCCUUUCGUCUCAGCUCCUCCAGCUAUUCACUCUUUAUCUUUGCCGAUUUUUCUUCUUCGAUUUCGAUAUCUCUCUUUGCCUGCUCAUAUCCUGCUGAAUAAUUCUGCACCAGGGGGCUUCUCAGGUUAUACCAUAGCCGGCCUAUCCUCACACCCUCCUUUAAACCCCUCAACACCUGCGGGUGAUUGAAAGCUCCCAAAUCAAGUACGGCUCGGUGGUAUCGCUUUACAAAAUCCCGUAGGGACUCGUGCUCCUCCUGUUUCAUCCCCAUCAGUUCCAUCAUGUCGUCCUCUAGGGCUACUGCCCCUCGGAACUGCUCGGCCAACUCCUGGCACAUCUGCUCAUACCCCUUUAUACUUCCUCCGGGCAGCUUGCGGUACCAUUCUCGAGCUCGUCCCUCUAGUGUCAACGGGAACGCCCUGCAUCUCUGAGCUGAUGUCAGCCCCUGCACACCCGUCAUAUCGUUGAAACGCUCAAUGUACACCAGUUGGUCACUUCGCCCGGAGUAUUUGAGGUUGGGGAAGCGGAAAUCUCUUGGGAUUAUGAUACCCAUGAUCUCGAUUGAUAACAGAGAUUCUUCAUCUAACAUUAUCCUCCAGCUCGGGGGCUUUCUCUUGCCUUGUAUCUCCUCUAUCACCUGCGCCAACCUGCGCACCUCCCCCUCCAAUUCUAUAGCACGGCUAGGAUCACGCGCAGCUAUCUGGUCUCGCUUCUGCUCAGCGUUCUGCAACCGCUGUCUGAGCUCUCCUUCAUCAACACUGGCACCUCGGCCAGUAGUUUCCAGUACCCAUCCGGGGCGAGUUUGGUCUCUCCCUUCAUCCCCGUGUUCUCCUGGGACCCGGCCAGUACUUCUGUGGGGAUGCACCCCAUUAGGUUGGUCUGCGGGCGGAGGAAUGUCCUCGACUCUACGUCUCCGGAGGCUGGGUUCUGCUCCGACUUCAUCUCUUCCCACGGGGGUUUCACAAUCCCUUCUCCGCUCAUCCCUCAGCUCAAACAAUAUGGACGUGAGAGUCUCCAUUUGUUUCUCCAUCCGCUCCAGUCUGUCUUGCAUCAUCCUCUCUCGGGCUUCAUUCGCAAUUUCCCGGAGAGUGAUUGUCUCCCCAGCCUCGUUAUCCUCCCCAAAAGCGUCCUUUCUCGUCACAUCCAUGUCCAACCGUUCGCUAUUUCUCCGGUACUUCCUAAUUCGGUGGUAGCUUUUUAUCCAGCUCCCCACAGACGGCGCCAAAAUGUUGAUGCUUAAAUCUGCUCGCCUUUAGACCGACCAGAUUCUUUCACCAACGUUUGUGUUAUCUACUGUUGCUCGUUCACUGGGAUUGGAAUCGUCCUUCUUUCUCACAAUAGACCUGCGCUCACCAAAAACGGAUCAGAGACGCCGGUGGUUUUGCCGGCGUAAACCCUCCGAUGCUUAAGUUAGCUCAAGGUGUUUACGGGAAAACAGUGCAAUUUAGAUCUCAAAAUGGUUUCUAAAUUAUUCGGAGUUUAUAAGAAAAUAGCCUGGUUUCAAUUUGGCAGCGUUUCCCCUCUCUCAAUUUUUCCAUCCCCUUCUUCAUCGAUUUCUUCUUCUUUUAUAGCCGAUGUCCCCACGUUCCCGCUUGCCCUUCAUCCCACCUUUUUCGGGUAGUGGUAGCCUCUCAUGGGGCUCUAACUGCUGCAUUAUGGGCAAACGUGGGAUCUCGCGUCUCCCGCAACGGUUCUGGGAAAGCACAACUACCGUGAUUCUGUGAGAUCGUGUUUCCGCUUUUCGGGGGACGGGUACCGGCUCGGUAUGUGGCUCUGGUCAGUAUUCGUCUCUGAUCGACUCAUGUUACCCCUGUUCUGCUCGUACCAUUUGGCUGAGGUGAUUCAUGCCGGGGUGGAAGUAGUAUCCUGGCCGACCUGGUGCUUUUAUUUGCUUAACAUUGCCCAAGUGGUAUGCCUUUGUGGUCGUAAUUUUCAUUUGCAUAUACGUUGCCGCGUUUGCCUGGUCUUGGGGUCCUCUUGGAUGGUUAGUGCGCAGUGAAAUUUUCCCACUCGAAAUCCGGUCAGCAGCACAAAGCGUGAAUGUUUCUGUGAACAUGGCAUUCACAUUUUUGGUUGCACAAGUAUUCUUAAACAUGCUUUGCCAUCUCAAGUUUGGCCUGUUCAUUUUCUUCGCAUUCUUCGUCGUGCUGAUGACCAUUUUUAUCCACUUCUUCUUGCCCGAGACUAAAGGAAUUCCAAUCGAAGAAAUGGGUCAAGUGUGGAAGAAUCAUUGGUUCUGGUCCCGUUAUGUUGGCCAAGAUGAUUUCCUCGCCAAUGGAGGCCUAGAGAUGCACAAAGAAGAAACUGAUGUCAACAAUGUCUGAUCUGCAUGCUCAACUCCAUCCGGAUUUUUGUUUAGUUUCUAUUUUUAUUUUUUAUAUUUUUUAACAGUAAGUAGUAGUAGUACAGUUAUUCUGUCGGUUUAUUAUUCUAGCCUUAUCAAUGCCUUUUCUAUUCGACUUUAGUAGUGUUUAUUACAAUUUCUAAAGAAAUUAAUUUCAUGUAAGUUUUUACUUUAAUCAUUUUCCUUGUUUGGGUUCUCUGUUUUUCCUUUUUUUUUUUUUUUUUCAUCAGAAAUCGUCACUCUUACAAUUUGGACCAAGAAAUUCUUCACACAGGAAUCUGAAGAAAAAUUAACAAGGAUUGAAAAUUUUGACUUAUUGUUUAUCUUUUUUUUUUCUUUUCUCUUUUCCGUCUUCUCUUCUCAUUAAACAGACAUUAAGGCAAAAUUAAUAAAUUAUUUUAUUAUUGGUCUUAUCGUGAGUAGAAAAUCAUUGGUGCAAAUUCAAUUAUUUAGAUCAACAGAAAUUUUGGGAUAUGAAUCAAUGAGAAAAUUUUAAGUAUUCCUAAAAUAUUAUUCCUAUUUUAUCGUGAGUAGAAUAUGACCACCUUAUAUUAACUCAAGCUUUUUAUUUAAAAUUUUAACAUAAAUUCUCAUCUAUAAACUUUGUGGCAAAAUCUUAAGUUGAAAUAGGGAGAAAAAAAUCUAAAGAAUGUAUAAAAUUUGUAGAAAGAAAAGCCGCACGUGAGAUAUGUCAAAAUCAAAAUUCAUCAAUACAUCAAAUUUCAUAUACAUGGCAACUUAAACUCGCACAGUUCAAUGUCAAAAUUUAACUUUUAUCAAAAAGUAACGUUGCAUCCUCAUUUUACCUUUAACUCUAAGAGGUGUUGCAAUGGCCAAAGUAGCCAGUCAAUCUUUCUUUUGACGUUAUUUAAUCAUUCUGUACAGCAGAACACCCAUCAACUACUCUCAUCCUGGCCAUAGCUGCCUGCAUUGAGGAGUUGCUAAAGUUUAACAAUGAAAAAUAAAGCAACGAAAAAAUAAAUUUAACUUGAAUUAAUCAAGAACCUGUUUUUUCCAGUUUGUGAAAGUUGUAGCAAGAGAAAGAAGGGUGGACUGCACAACAGAGCCAGCCACUAUUCCGAUCCAAAGUCCCUUUCCUCUUAAAUGUGCUACAAAACCCAACACGGCACCCACUGGCAACCCAACUAAAUAAAAUGCCCCAAGGUUUAUGUACACCCUAUAUGCUGCCAUCCACACCCUUUCGCAACCCCUAUUGCAAACGUAGAAUCCACCUUUAUUAAGAAAUGAAAAUUUGAACCGCAUUUGAAUCCCAGAUGUUUUGUGGUUUGUGUAUUCAAGAGAUAAUUACCAACUGAUCUAGUCAACACCAACCUCUUGGAUGUAUACUUUAUAUGUGUGUGUCUAUAUAUAUAUAUAUAUAUAUAUAUAUAUAUAGCAUGUAUCUAUUUAACUAUUACGACAUUUACCAAAUGAUAUAUAAGUCAACAGUGACUCUUCAGUCUCCCAUAUUAUUAUCCAACAAAGACUUUAAUUGAAAGAAGUGUAAUUAGAAAGCAACUACUAACCAGAAAAAACAGCUUGUAAGCUGUCUGUAAUAACUGAGAGACAAAUCAGAGGAGCCAUAACAACAACAUAAUGCACAACUUGGUUGUCUUUGGUGUAAGCGUAACCCAAAAAAUAGCGGCAGCAGAAGAGGAUCGUGCCGACUAUCACUGCCUCUACCACAGCAUAACUUGUUGCAGCCCAUACAGCCACUCUAGCUGCUUGCAGAUUCCCAGCUCCAAGCUCAUUUGAAACUCGAGUACUAUACAUGACAUAUAUAUUAACAUGCACAUAGUCAAAUGCUAGCCUGCUCCAUUUGUAUUAUUUUAAAAAAAAUGCAAAUCACAGGGAGCAACCAAAAGCAAGAAAAAAAAAAGACCUUGCAGCUACUCCAAAAGCAUAUGGUAUUGUGAAGUGCAAUGUUGAAAUUGUAAGGCUGAUCAUAAAACAACAACGAUUAGAAGCAUAUACAGUUUAAUUCUAGGACAAUUUAUAAGUCAAAAUUAAAUAGUUAUAACUAAAAUAGGAGCUAAUUACCAAAUUGAAAGUACUGAAGUCUCCAGCUUGGGAUUCGGUAAAAGGCCGGAUAACAAAAUUAAGAUCUCCAUCGACCACCAUUUUAGACUAAUUAAUCACCAUAAUCGAUCACAAUAAGAGAGAGACUUUUGAGAUUAAAAGAGAAGAAACAACACAAAAAGCAAAAUUACCAUUCUAAGAGAUAAGAGGAAUAAUUACCAAACCAUUAUGGCAGAAGGUAUAGCCAAGCGAAAGAACUGUCCAAUGGCUAGUAAAGAUUCUUUAGAAACCGGCGCGCGAGUUUUCUCACAAGCUGAGGAGUACAUCAUGUACAAUCCGAGCAGUAUCACAUUCAACCAAGUUGAUAGACUGAAGGCUAGAGCUGCACCCAUGCUUCCUAAUUCUAGUUUGAACACAAGAGUCCAGCACGCAGGUAUAUGAAAACAUAGAAUUAGAAAAGAACUUGCAAACAUGGGAAGAAUCAAGCUCUGAGUCUGAAAGUAUCGGGUUAGUGGUUUCAGGAUUGCACUCCCGAAUAAUGCAGGGAUUAGCCACAUUGAAUACUUGCGUGCUUCGUGGGAGAUUACAGGAUCUUGGCCUAUUAGAGGUAACAAUUUGUCCAUAAAAAUCCACAACAGGCAAACUAGAGGGCAAACAAGAAUCAACGAAAUUAUGGCAGUGUAAGUAUGAACUCCAAGCUUCCGAAAUUGUGCUGCUCCAUAAGCUUGCCCACAUAGAGUUUCCAAUCCACCAGCCAUUCCUGACUGCUUGGCAAGUCCAAAUUAAAUUCAAUCAUUAAUCAUCAAAAUUAUCUCUAGGAUUAAUUAAACCUGAAGAUGAAGGUAAUGUGAGUAGAGAGCAGCAAACUUACUAGAAGACUAAAGCCGGUAACAUUUGUGAGAGAGGUGGCAAUGGCUACACUAGACAGGGCAAGCUGGCUUAGAUGUCCCACCAUUACCGUUGACACAACUUGCAGAAGGUACUGCAACACAGAGACUGCCACCAUUGGUGCCGCGAUACGGCCAGUCUUCUUCAGCUCUUCCAUAAAUCCACCCCAUGUAAUUGCCCAUCUCUUCUCCUGGCUCUCUCCAACUUCCAUAUCCAUGCAAAAUUGAUAAAUGAUAAUAAUGAUGGUAUCUUAGUUUGCUUUGCCACUAUUAAUAAAAAGAGCCAAUCCAAAGAAACACGAAGUUUGUAUGCUGUCCUCUGUUUUGGCUUUACUUGAGAAUUCAAUAUUAACGAUUUUAUGUUUUGACUGUUCAAAAGAGCAUGCCGAGAGGUUCAAAUUAGUGGACUCUAAUUCCCAACUUUCUGUUGUUUAUAAUCAUUAUUAUACAUUCCCCACGAGCACGGCACAGACAUGAGUAAUGCGGCAAGGGUGCGUUUCGCACACUGCAUUGUAUUAUGUUGUAUUGCAUUAUUUUAAUAUUGGUGUAUUAUAUUAUGCUGUAUUGUAUUAGCAUUGUAUUAUAAUAAUGUUAUAUAAUGUUUGGUGUUAUACUGUACUGUAUUAUUUUUUUAAUUAAUUUAAAUUAAAUAUUAUAUUAUAUUAAUGUUUUAUAUUAUAUUAAUAUAUUUAAAUUGCAUUAAUAUUUUAUGUUAUUAUUUAUAUUAUUAUUAAUUUUAAAUUAAUAUUAUUCAAAUUUAUUCAUAUUUAAAUAUUUUUAUUAGUUAUAAUAAGUUAUAAAUUUAUUAAUAAAUUAUAAUGUAAAAAUAAAAAAUAUACUAUUAUUGAAUGAUAAAUUAUUAAUUUAUUAAUUAUAUUAAUAAUUAUAAUGUAAAAAUAAAUAAAAUAAAAAUAUUAUAUUAAAUUAAAAACCAUAUUUAUUUAUUAUUUUAAUAUUAUAAUAAUAAUAAAGUGAAAAGCAAAAUAAAAUUAAAAAAAAAAAAACAAAGCUAAUGCGUCAGUUGACGCAUUAGCCUCCCACCCCAAUCCCUUGCAAUUUUAUUCCAAACAUAGGUUUGGUAUUAUGUUAAUGUAAACAGUAUUAUAAUAUCCCCUUAAUACUAUAAUCAAACACACCCUAAGAUAAUUGCUGGUGUUUAAUCGGUCAGAUUUUUCAUCUUUUCUCGAUCUUUUGAAAAAUCAUAAUAAUGAUUAUAAUAGAUCCCCAGACACGUAGAUGGGAUUGAGAUUUUGUCUGAUAUGGCUUGAUUUGAAGUAUUUUUUUAUAUCUGCAAUUCUGCAUAUAGUAAGUACAAUCAUAUCUUCUGAGUGAUAGACUUCAUUUUUGGCCGUUCUGAACAAAAACUAUGUUCAAUGACAGUACUGAACUCUAAAUUUCAGUGGAAUAUAAUAAAGGAGAGGAAUAAAAAAGCAUAUUGCAAAUUGGAUGUACUCUCUCACAUCUGAAUCAUUUAAUAAUUGCUUUUGGAAGCACAUUUUUGACUAGUUACUACAUAAUAUCAGCUUAGAAGAAACAGAUGCGAUUCCCCUAGUGGCUUUCAAAUUGCAAUCAGUUGUACGCGAGCGAUUCCUUAACAGAUGAGAAGAAAGAAAAAUGGCAAAAAAGGAAAAAAAACAAUUCUGAUGUUUUCAGGAGUCAGUAGAUGCUGUUGAAAUACAUAUUUUUCACUGUCCUCCCCUUAACUAUGUUAGACUUUAUGUCUAAAUUCGCACUUGUCUCCCAAGAUUUUGAUGGACUGUUAACAUGGAUGACUAAAUGAAUAAAAAUACAUAGACGCCCCUGAUUUGAAGCAAAAUCACCAUGCCAGGAAACAAAACAGCUCGUGUAUAAAGAGAUGACAGUGUUAAUUUCGACAAAAAGAAACUGUGGGUUGGACAAAAUCCAUGAGAGGAUAGUGAAAAAUAUAUAUUUUGAUAUAAUGUAUAUAGUAUAUCAUUUCAAAACUCAAAAGUCGUUUCGUUCUUUAAAAAAAUUCCACUGCUUUAAAAUUAAAAAUCACAUUUAUAAUUAAUUUUUUUAUCAAGUUCUAAAUCCUUUUAUUUUGUCAACAUCCUAAAAUUAUAAUAAGAAUUAACUAUGCUUUGAUUGAUAAAACUAAUGGGGAUUUCGUUCUUAUUUGAUAAAAUCAAUAGUCAUUUCGUUCUUAUUUAAUGUGUUUCCAACUUGUGAGCAAUGGGAGGUAGAAAGCAAACUUGUCCACUUUCAAUUCCCAAACUCAUAAGAAUCAGACCUUUUUUUUUUCAAAUGAUCAAAUAAAUACAAUUGGCUACUUUGACAGACAGGAACAAUACAAGUGUCUUAACAUGUCGAUCAAAUGGCCAAAAGUAAGACGCAAUCCCUAAGUCUAACUUACAAUUGCUAAAAAUAACGUAAAAAUGGACCAGUAUCAUCAUUUUACCUCGUCUUUAAUGGUUGUCAGUUACACUAAAUAUAUUUUAAGGAGACAAUAAUAAUAAUAAUAAUAAUAAUAACAAUUUGAGUAGAAAUUAUCACGAACAUAUUCCUGCAUAUCUUAACAUCUUCAAAGAUAUGUGACUUAUUGAUGUGACGCUCCAUUUUAUCAAACAGUUGCAUCAGAAAAUUCUGAAGGGACUACAAAUGCCUUUUGAUGCAUAGAAGAUUUACAUUACUGACAAACCAAGGACAAAGCAGAAAGAAGCAAGUUUCGAUUUGUUUCUCAGCCAAAAAUCAAGUUCUUCCAUUAUCUUCUGUCUACUUCUUCCCCUAUUAACUCCAAUUUUUGCUCAGACCCUUGGUUUUGGAAUUGGGCAAGUAAUUGGAGGAGUCAAAGAGAAAGAAAGUAAACAAAAUAUAAAUAUAUAUAUCAGCAACUCCCUAGAUCUAAUCUGCUUCUGGCUCAGUUAGGUGAUCAGUCAUUAAGAUCUAUUGCCUCUCCACCUUCUUACUAGUACUCCCAGCCCUUUAGAGCAAAUUAUUAAACCAACCCUCGGAAAGUUCAGACACAUCCUUUGUAUUCCAACUGUGCAAGUGUAAUGUUAACCUAAGGUUCUCUUUCUUUUCAUUUGUAUGCUUGAAGAAAAAUCAACAAGAAAAUGCAAUACCAGCAGGUAUUAUUUGUAAUUCAUAUGGAAAUUAUCAUUAACAUAUGCCUACAUAUCGAAAUCUUCAAAAGGUUGUCAGAGUUUAUCCGCAGCAAUCCAAUCUAUUUUAUCAAAGACAGAAAAACUUAUGUUCAAGCAGAACAAUCAAAAGGGAAAGUAAAUGCCCGAAUUUUGAGCUAGCACCAAUAAAUUGAAGAUGUACAUUAUUGACAAGCCUAGAACAAUAUCAGCUUGAAAAGAAGCAGAUAAAAGCACAUAUUUAGACAAGAGAAACUUACAAACUACCUCAGUUUUUGUGCUGCAGUUGGGACACCAGAUGAACUCAAGUUGGCCCUUUCUGAAUCGUUUGCUGCACGAAAGCCAGCUGUAAUAAAUGUUACUAUUGAUCCCUAUGCCAGUACAAACUACCUCAGUUUUUGUGCUGCAUCCUACCACUUUCUGCACCGGCAUAGGGUUCAAUAAUAACAUUUAUUAAAGCUGGCUUUCGUGCAGCAAACGAUUCAGAAAGGGCCGACUUGAGUUCAUCUGGUGUCCCAACUAAAUAUCCUUUUCCCCCAAAAGCUUCCAUGAGCUUAUGAUAAGCUGCACCAGGUACAAAAGAAGUAGGUGCAGGAUCAUCUUUGAAAGGCCCUGCAAUUUCUUCAGGGUUUCUGCGAUCUCCACCAUACACACCACCAUUAUUAAAAACUAUCACGACAACAGGCAACUGAUAUCGAACCAAUGUCUGCAAAAUCAGAAGAAACAGAGACCACAUUAGUCUCUUUUUCCUCUCCCACCUUUUUCCAUUUAUUGGAUGAGGAUAUGCUAUACGUAUGAAUCAACUUUGGACUUAGACAAAGUAAAAUUCAUUUAUUCCAUUAAUUGAUUAACAUUGACACACUAUCUUCUAAAAAUUCAUUUAUUCCAUUAAUCAAUCUUCUAACUACACAGAUAUGCAAACAUCCAAGUGCGAGCACAUCACAAGCACAAAUUCUCAUUUUUCAUUCAGAAGGAAAGUGAAAAAGAGGGGGGGAAAAUGGAAGGUAUCUACAAUAAAAAACCCUCAUCUAAGUCACACAUCAAUGAAGAAUGCAAUAGAAGAAAUCUUUCCACUAAAUACAGAAAGAUGCACCAAGAACUACCCUUCUGAAAGCAAGGCAGCAAUUACGCAAGUUCGGAUUAGCUAAAACUAAAUCCGACAGUGGCCAUAUAGCAUUUGAUAAUUACAAGACUACUCGUUCACUAGAAUAGAACCAGCAUCAAAAGAAACUCAAAUAUCCAAAUCGUAAGAAAAUUAAGGAUAUAUUGAGAAAAGGAAGACACAGGGGAUAAAAGCCAUUUAGGAACCGUACCAUCAACUAUCGAUCCCUGAGAAAAAAGGAAAUGAGCUAGGAAACUAGAUAAAGUAAAACCUAAACAGUAUGUCCUAAAAUCAAGAAGCCAGACUGCCUGUAAUGAGCAAGCGAAGUUUUCCAAAUUUGUGACCAUCAUCCCAGUAAAUAAUGAAAUGCUUUAGAACGCAUGAUAAAGUUGAUGCUGGCACUCAAAGCUUUAAACAAGCAAGAUUUGACUUCCCAAACUAAGGUAGUCAGUCUCUCCCAUCAAAUAGAGAAGGAUCCAGUACAAGCUGAUGAUCAAAACUUAGAUUUGCCUAUAUCCACUUGAAACUGCAUCAGCCUUCAAAUUCUUCAAAAGUUAUUACCAUAGGAAGACAACUCACAAAUGUCCUAAAUCUUUAAAAUCUAAUAUUAGACCAUUGGAGAUGUGCCGCAGAUUUCAAUAUUAAAGCGAAAGUAGAAUAAAAUGGAACGCUAAAGAGAAUCUUAAAAUAACAAAAUAAUCAUAAAUGACUAGCAAUUUGCAUCAUGUUUGUUGAUGAAUUAAGGAAGUCAAGCAUGGUGUACAAGUUUAUUCUUGUGAAUAAAAUGUAUGCAUAAAUAUCGUUAUAUGCUAGAGAUCAUAAUUAUGCAAGAGAGCCAUACCUCAACCUCAACCGCACUGAACCCAAAUCCAGAGUCUCCUUCAACAGCAACCACAAGCCGUUCAGGGCAAGCUAUUGCAGCAGCAAUGCAAUACCCUAAACCAACCCCCAUGGUCCCCCAAGUCCCUGCAUCCAGCCUACAACGAGGCUCAGUUUGAACCAAUACUGCCCUACCCACAUCCAUAGUAUUUGCCCCUUCAGAUACCAAUAUAGGAGCGGGGCUCCCGACUCCUAAGAUCGCAUCUCUUAUAAUCCUCAUUGGCGUCAUGAAAUUAAACGGCACAACAUCCUUCACCAACUGAACCUCCAUUUUCAACACAUUGUCAUUCGUUUUCUUCCAAAUAGCCUCAACCCAAGGAUGAUUUUUCCCCAAACAAAAAGGUUCAUCUUUAAUCUCCUUAUUAAUCAUUUCCAACACUUUUUUAGCAUCUCCAACCAAACCCAAGUGUGGUUUCCUUAACUCAAUCUCUUCCUUGCAAACAUCAACCAAAACAAACUUCACAUCCUUCGACCACUUCGGUGGCUCACCAAAAUGCAACAACCAAUUAAGCCUCGCACCAACAACAAGCGCAACAUCACAUUGACCUAUGGCUAAUGACCUCGCAGCGGUAGCAGCAAGCGGAUGGGUAUCAGGCAACAGACCUUUACCCAUUGGAGUAGGCAAAAAUGGAAUCCCAGUGCUUUCAACUAAUUUCUUCAAUUCACCCUCAGCUCGCGCAUAAGCUGCGCCUUUCCCAAACACAAUCAACGGCUUCUUUGCUUCUUUAAGCAAAGACACCGCUUUAUCGAUAUCAGAAUUCACAAUCCCCCCUUGCGUCACCGUUUCUUUGGCACUCUCCGCUUCCUUCAGAAGCUUCUCCGCUUCAGAUACCGAUAUCGUUUGAUGUAAAACAUCAGUGGGUAGAUCCAAAUAACACCCGCCGGGCCGCCCCGAAACAGCUCGUUCAAGAACCUGAGCGACACACUUGGGAACUUCCGUAAUGUCCUUCGCUUUUACAGCAAAUUUCGAAAAAGGCUUGACGGCUUCCACUUGGUCGAGUUCUUGAAAAUCGCCGCGGCCAAAAUCUUUCUGAUCGCAGGAGCCGGAUAUCAUGACGAUUGGCCACGUGUUAAUCAUCCCAUUCGAGAGACCAGCCAGACCGUGCACGUAACCCGGACCGGAAACAGUUAACAGAAUGCCGGAUUUUCCAGUCAGGUAUCCGUAGGCGGAGGCGGCGUAGCCAGCGGACUGCUCAUUGUGGAAGGCGAUGAACCGGACGCCGAGCUGGACGGCCCGGUUCGCUAAGGAAGUAACGGGAAUGCCCACCACGCCGAACAUGUGGGUGGCACCGAAUAGUGACAAGGAUUUGGCCGCCAGGGUGUUGCCGUCGAUCUGGGCAUUUUGGGAAUUUUGCAACUCCGAACCCGCCAUUGCUUGCUAGAUGUGUGUGUUUGUGCUAAUGCCCGAGUGAGAAGUGGACGGGGCAAGGGUAAACAAUUUUUUUUUUUUUUUUUUACCACGAGUUAUUUUGGGGUGGAUUAACAGUGGGAGAUACUUCAAGUUCCUAUCAUAAUUUAGAGAGAGACACUUUUAAGUUCGUACCAUAAUUUAAAUUAAAAGUUUAAGUUCUCUUAAUAAAAAUAACUUUUCUAUAACUUAAAUUAAGGAAUAAAUUCAGUCAAACCACUUAAGAAAAAUUCAUUGUCAAUGGAACAACACUUUAUUGGUAACAAAUUCAGCUUUAGGUUGUUGAUAUAUACAUAGGUAAUGGACGAAAUGUCUAUCAUGCCCUUUCCGGCGAUGGUAGCUGGGACAGGUGCCAAUUUUUUUGCAAAUGCGACCAAAAUGGAUAGCUUCACCCAUAAAACGACAUAACUGGUAGUAGGUAUAGCGACAAUGCUUUCCCGAUUAUCAUUAUAUUUUUCUCUGUAGUUAUAAAUAAAGGUGACAAUUUGUUUCCAAAAGUAUCGUUAUUAAUCCUCAUCCGUUGAAUUAUAACACGUAAUUAUUACUUAGGGAUGAUAUUGCUUAAUCGGAAAGAAGGAUGUAAUAACUUUAAAAAAAAAAAUACAUAUGACAUAUAAGAGCAUCAUUAGAAAAUUCUUUUAAUUUAAUUUUUUAAAUACUUAUUUAUUUAUAUAUGUUAUAAAUAGAAGAGAGAAAAUAUCAUUUCUCAUAAGACUUUUCAAAUAAAAAUAAAUUUAUACUAUUUUACUCAAAUUUUUUCUUUCAUUAAAAUAAUAACAAUUAUAACUAUUCCAUCUCUUUAAAAGUAAUGAAAUAAAAAAUAAUAUAGUACGAAAUUAAGUGUUCUAAAAGACUCUCUAAAUAAAUUUUUUUAAAUUUCAAUAUGGACAAUUUUAUUUAAAAAUUAUUUAAAAACUCUUUUUAUUAACAUAACUCUUUAAAUAAAUAGUAAAUUUUCAUUAAAUUUUUUUUUUAAAAAUGUCUAUAACGAGAAAAAAAAUAUUAAUAGCAAGGGUUUGGCUAUGUUGGAGUUCACCUACGGUGGAGAACGAAUCUCAGCCACAUACACAAAAUGAUAAAGAAUAAAUAAUGAGUUAUAAUGAGUUUUUUAAUAUUUAUUACUUUGCGUGUGUGGUUGAGAUUCGUGUUCCACAGUAAGUGAACUCUAACAUAAUCAUAGCCUAACAACAAUUACCAAAUCAAAUCUUUGAGCACAUGAUUUUAUAUGGGCUUCUACAAAUUGUGGACAUCCAUAAAUAAAUUAGAGUUCAUAACCGAUUCUUGCUCUGACAUAUUCUGUUUAAUUUUUAAUUUAGAAUUUCUCAGUUACAAUUUACAACUCUUAUAUUCCUAUACAUGAAUUGCAAUGCCUUGGAUGCUUGUGUUGAAAUAUGAUGCAACCGAAGCAUGUGUGACGUUGUAUGACAUGUCAUGUAUAACGAAAAAAAAUGUACGACUUGUCAUCCUUAAACUAAAAGACACGUAUGACAAAAAAAAAAUGGUUAUCUCCAAUUUAUAUUUCCGAUUACAAUAGUCAUUGAUUCAGUGCUCAGCAAAGUUAAAUCCUAGUUCUAAUAAUAUACUCAGGGUUUUAUUUAUUUAUUUUGUAUUUUUAGAAAAAAAUAUUUGACUAACAAUCAUCAAGAUUGACUAACAUAUAUUACUUGACAACAAAUAAAGAAACUACUGCUCAAGAGACACUUUCAACAACGCAUAGACGUGAGGUAAAUAACAAGAGUGAAUAGACACUUAGGUAGUGUUUACUUGUUGUAGUAGGAGUAAGGAGUCUGGAUUCCUCCUACUCCAGUGUUUACUUACUAAUUUUAAAGGAGGAGUGAGAAUCCUACUCCUUGGGACCCACUUUUUUUUGGAGUGGGGAGUGGGAAUCCACUCCCCUCUCUUCCAUUUUUAUCCUAAUAUUUAAUUAAAUAAAAUAAAUAAUAUUUAAUUAAAUAAAAUAUUAUUAUUAUUUUAUUUUAUAAAUUAUACUUAUUAAAAAUAAUAAUUUAUAUUGAUUCUAAGUUAAAAUUACUUAAAAAUAAUAUUAUUAUACUCACAGAGAAUUAAUAAUAUUACUAUAUACUCUUUUUAUUUGAAAAUAUAAUAUUAUUAUAUUUAUUUAAAAAUAAUAGUAUUAUAUUUAUUUAAUAUUAGUAAUUAAUAAUAAUCAAUAUUUUAUUCUAAGAAAAUAUUAAUUUUGUAUUAUAUUAUUAAUAAUAAUGUUUCAUUUGUGUUGCUCUUAAUAAUAAUUUUUUAUUUACAUAAUUAAAAUUAAAUUUAAUAAAAAAAUAUUUACAUAAUUAAGAAUAUUAUUAAUUAUUAUUAAUUUAAAAAUAUAAUAAAAUAAAUAUUUUAUUUUUCAAAUCUAUUUUUUUAUUAAUUUUGUAAUUAAAAACUAUAAUUCUUUAAAUAAGGAUAAAACUGUAAUUUAAAAUCAUUUACUCUCAAUUCUAUGCUCUCAUUCCAGUGUAAGUAAACAACUUAUUCCCACUCCCACUCCAUACUCUACACUCCUAAUCCCAAAAUUCUCACUGCUCAUGAUUCCCACUCCAAUCUAAAAUGUAAACGCACCAUAAUUAAUUGAUUGAUAAUCGAAGUUCGAAGCCUCAGUGUGCUAACAAGCAGUAAAGUCAACAACACUAAGCUAUAAAUGGCAAACGUUAAUGCUCAUGAUGACAUCCAAAUCAAGUUCAGAAUCGUUGAACAUUUGAAAACAAUCACAACAGGAAGCUAUAAAUGGCAAAAGUAUGGAGGUGCCACUAUUGCCUGAGAGGGAAGAAGAGAGGAAAUGGGUGGUGGUGGUGCUACCACGGCUAUCCUUUUUGGAAGAGCUGAAGACGUUGAGCUUCUUAUCAGCGCCGCCGGCAGGGGUGGCCUGUUUUCGGUUCUUUUUGCUGGCUACAGCAACGAUGAUGGUGGGACACCUUGGAAAACUUUCACUUGAUAGUAUUGCCAUUGCUAACUCCUUAAUUAAUGUCAUCGGCUCCAUUCCACUUGUAAUAUUUUCUUCAUUCCCUUUUCUUUUUACCAUUAGAAAACUGCUUUACUUCUUCUUCUUCUUUGUUUCACAUCAAAGCAUGCUUCGUUUAUUUAAUCUAAUGACACUGCUUUGUAUGCCUUUUGUUUUGUAGCAAGUUAACAAUUUGCUUGUGCUCGCUAGAAAAUUGUUUAAAUGACUCAAUAUAAUCCACACAGCAAUAAUAUAACAAUAGCUAUUUUUAAAUCCAGAUCAACGACAAGCAACCACAACUAUAUGGUUAAACAAGUUAAAUCAAGCUCGUUUAGCUAUAAUAAGCAAUCAACUUUAGAACUUUAGCUUGACUUUCAUAGGUGAGAAUACCAAGCAGGUCUAUUUUGACUAGGCUAAGAUCAACAAAUUAAUAAACUUUGAUUAAUUAUUGGCGAAGAAUUAAUCAAUAUUACUUGGAAGAUAUUAAGAAACUUUGUUCACCUUUUCUGUCACUGGUCCAAAUAAUUUAUGAAGUACUUUUUUGAGCCUUUUUUUUUUGGAAAGGUAGUACUUUUUGAGCUUGAACAAGCAUUAUUAUAACUGAUCUUAGUUUACUCCAUAUUUUCCAUGCUACCGCUGUUUACAUAAAACGGAUUUUGGGAGAAUAGCAUAUAUUUCAUCAAUAAUCAAUUGAGACAUAUAAGAUUAGCCAACAAAAUGAUAUCUAAUGUGGACAAUGCCAUUAAAUUUUGAGCAGUUUGGUUUUGCCUCUGCAUUAGAGACUCUAUGUGGACAAGCUUAUGGAGCAGAGCAAUAUCAAAAGAUUGGAACCUAUACUUACCCUGCUAUGUUCUUUUGCAUUGCAAUUUGUAUCCCCAUCUCUGUUCUUUGGAUAUUCAUGGACAAAGUACUAAACUGCUAGGCCAAGACCCUGAUUUUUUUGUCGAAGCCUGCAAUUACGCAAUUUGGCUCAUACUGACAUUAUUUGGCUAUGCUAUUCUUCGAUCACUAUCUCACAAUCUCCAGGCUCAGAGCUUGAUUCUGGCAUUGUUCUUAAGCUCAUGUGCAACUCUUUGUUUGCAAAUUCUUCUUUGUUGGGGUCUAGUAUCUAAAACAGACUUUGGAAAUACAGGAGCAGAAUUAACCAUAGGUAUUUCUUAUUGGUUCAAUGUGAUCAUCCUUGCACUUUACAUGGGAUAGAACUCACACGGUGAUCACCAAGGAAAUUUUCCCUAGCACGAAGGAGUUCUCCUUCUUUGCACACCUUUCAGUUGUAAUGUUUUGGUAAUUUGCCUAUCGUACUUUGCAAUGUUUUUGUUAGUUUUCUGUUCUUAUAAAUUGACUUACAGUGUGCCUUUUGUUUCCAAUAACUAAAGUCUCGAAUGGUGGUCAUAUGAGAUUCUGGUACUGCUGUCUUGAAUAUUACCAAAUCCAAAACUUGAAACAUCAGUUCUUACAAUAUGGUACGUAUCUACACUUACGGUUUUGACUUUUGAGUAAACGGGGAAAAUUCUCAGUAGGGUUGAAUUGAUUUCCUUUGCUCUUCAUAUGCAGCGUUACAAUCCAGUCAACACACCAUUUUAUGCCAUUUGGUAUUAGUGCUGCCGCAAUGUUUGAUCUAUAUGUUGUUUCAAAAGCAUGCACUUACGAGUAAAUGAAAUAAUUCAUUACCUACUAGUUAAAAAAACCCUGAUUAAUUCUGUGUACUGAGCUGUAUCGCAAUCCACCGUUGUGCAGCACUCGAGUGGCAAAUGAAUUAGGAGCUGGAAAUCCAGAACCAGCUCGAUUGUCUACAUGUGUCGUGAUAUUUCUUGCAGUUGCAGAGGCAGCCAUAGGAAGCGUAGCUCUAUUCUGCUGCCGCAAUGUUUUGGCAUAUUUGUUCAACACUGACAAGGACGUUGUGAAUUAUGUGUCUGAAUUAGUUCCUCUGCUUAGCACUGCCAUUUUCAUGGACAGCAUGCAAUCAGUACUUUCCGGUCAGAAUCCCAUCAUUCUGUCAGGACUUUUAUUUUCACUCUUUUCACUCAGCUAGUGCUUCAGAGCUUGAAAAAGAUUUGAUGAUUUAUUUCUCACCAUUCACUUUCCUUAUCACAAGUAGCUAGAGUAAUUGGGUGACAGCACAUAGGAGCUUACGUAAAUCUUGGUGCAUUUUAUCUUGUUGGAAUUCCGGUAGCAUCUGUGCUAUGUUUUGUUCUUCAUCUUAGAACAAAAGGCCUUUUGCUCGGAUUAAUCAUUAAUGCCAGGCUCAACUGUCGCAAUUGCGCUCGCCAUCGUUACUUCUUUAACAAUUUGGGAAAAACAGGUUUCUAUUUCAUUUCACACUUUUUUCAAAUUAUCUGCUUCUUCAGCAGUGAGUUAUCCUUUAAUUUUGCUGGCUGACAUUGAUCUUUCAUGUGGAUAUCUUUCCAGGCUACCUUGGCCAGAGAGAGAAUAAUUAAGGGAGCAUCUUCAACUGAUAAUAGAUCGGUUCGAUGCAAAACGUAAUUAAACAUUUUGUUUCCAUCGUAUCAAAAUUUCUUAGGAUGUGAGCUGCGAGUAUAUACUGUUACAAAACCAAGACCAAUUUUGGACAAUGCUAUUGUUGUGGCAAUUAAUUUAUCGAAAACUUGGUGUGCAGAAGCAAACCCAAGAAUUUUAAGAGCAAACAAUGUCCAAAUCACCAAUACAAUCAAUUUUGUGAAAUUGAUUCACAAGGCUACGUCCUCGGAUAAUUCCUAGAUUUACCAUGAAAUUUUACAUUUAAAAGAAGCAUGAUAAACAUCCUUUAUUUUAAAAUUAUGGAUUCUCUCAUGAUUUAAAUUCUCGUAGGAGCAAUUCAUAGUGGUGAUGGUUAUUAAUAUAUAAAAAUGUAAUGAUAGUUUAGUUUAAUCCCAACCAUUAUUUGUGACAAACACUUGGCGCAAGAUCUUAGACUCUUAAAUCGAAAUGAAUAAAUGUUUUAAACCUCAGUCGCAUUUAAACUUGUAUAAACUAAAAAUAGUCAAUUUCUAUUUUAAAUAAUCACAUUUAAGAUAGUUUAUGUGUUGAUCAAAUACUUGUUUAGACUUGUUUAGGCUUUCAAACUAUAUAUGUUGAUCAAAUACACUGAGUAUGAGAUGUGGCUUGCAAAACAGCUAAGGCAAAAUAGUCCCCAAAUAAUUAAACCAGAUUAAUUUCCACAACUGACAAAUAGAAGUGUCGUACAUUUUUCAAAGAGCGUGUCUUAAUCGUGCCGAUUAACAUCCAAAAUGUCUUUGUUAUUAGUCGAUUACUACUAGCUAUUAUUGUUAUUAUUAUAACAGUUACCACGAAAACAUCGUCGAGAUAUUUCAUCCAUCUCACCCCAUUUUCAUGCACAAAUAAAUUGAAAAAGAAAAAUCACUUAUGAAUGAUGAGAAUCGAGCCUCUUGCAACAUAUCUACAUGGUAUAUUUUAACCAGGCACUGAGUGUAGCUAGGGACAACAUGCGAUGGUCAGCCUCUUGCAACAUACCUAAACUUCAGUAUGAUUGGUAAUCAACAAAAGUACUAGUCAAUCUUGACUUCAAACUCAAGGGAAGCAUCUUUAUCCGAAUUAAAGAGAUCCAGUCUAUCAUUUAUUGUUGUAUUGUUAGCAUACAAUUAUUACCAGAGAAUACAAGCAUAUAGAGGUUCUGCCCGAGGCUGAGAACGAAGAAGAGAAGAAGAAAUGGGCGGUAACACGGCGAGCGUUUGUGCAAGAGCUGAAGAAGGUGAGCUUCUUGGCAGCGCCUCUUGCCGGGGUAACUGUUUUUCAGUUGCUUUUGCCGGCUGUAUCAACGAUGAUGGUGGGACACCUUGGAAAACUUUCGCUUGCUAGCAUUACCAUCGCCACCUCUCUCACCAAUGUCACUGGCUUCACUCCACUCGUAAUUUUUUUUUCUUAAUUUUUACCAUUAAAAUGCCCUUCUAUAUAGGGCGUUACUUUUGAUUCUAUUUUCUUUUCUUUACUUUAGCUUGACUUUCAUGGGUGAUCAGAGCAAUCAACUUGAUAAAAUAGUAAGGGUAUAACAAAGGUUUUUCAUCAAACAAACAGUUUUAUAUACGUAUUUAGCUUAAAAGCUAUAGCUGCUAGGAAGCAAUACCAAAAGGAGUCUGAAUAUAUAAUUCGCUAUACCAUUCCACUCACCAGAGCGAAUAAUAUUUUCAUGUUCUGCUUGAGUUUGAACAAGAAUUAUACUCUAACUAACCAUUUUGGUGUGCUACUGUACUUAACUAGAUUUGCGAUAAUUGCUUAUAUGUUUCUUCUUUAUUUCAAUCUGUUAAGAUUAGCCUGCAACAUGAUAUCUUAGUAUUUGUGUUUCUGAAUCAGUACAAACUUGUCAAAUACAUGUAUAAUGUUGACGUUAACUUUAAAUUUUGAACAGUUUGGUUUUGCCUGUGCAUUAGAGACUCUAUGUGGACAAGCUUAUGGCGCAGAACAAUAUCAAAAGAUUGGGACGUAUACUUACUCUGCUAUGUUCUUUUGCAUUGCAAUAUGUCUCCCAAUCUCUGUUCUUUGGAUAUUCAUGGACAAAAUAUUAAUGCUGCUACACCAAAACCCUCAGAUUUCUGUUGAAGCCCGCAAUUAUGCAAUCUGGCUUAUACCAGCAUUAUUCGGCUAUGCGAUUCUUCGAUCACUGUGUCACAAUCUCCAGGCUCAGAGCUUGAUUCUAACAUUGUUCUUAAGCUCAUGUACAACUCUAUGUUUGCAUAUUCUUCUUUGUUGGGUUCUAGUGUUUAAAGCCGACUUUGGAAGUACCGGAGCAGCAUUAUCCAUUAGUAUGUCUUAUUGGUUCAAUGUGAUCAUCCUUGCUCUUUACAUGAGACACUCUCCAUCGUGUACAAAAACUCGCACUUUGAUCUCCAAGGAAAUUUUGCCUUGCAUGAAGGAGUUUACCGCCUUCGCUCUCCCCUCGGUUUUCAUGUUUUGGUAUAAUUUGUCAAUCUCACUUUGCAAUGUUAUUGUUAGUUUCUGUUAUUAUUGGUUUACUUACAGCGUGCUGUUUCGUUCCCAAUAAUUAUAGUCUUGAAUGGUGGUUCUAUGAGAUUCUGAUAUUACUGUCGGGACUUUUACCAAACCCCAAACUUGAAACAUCAGUUAUAUCUAUAUGGUACACUUCUGACAUCACUUGUGGUUUGCUUUUGGUGAAUUUUUUGGGGAAACUCUCAAUAGGGUUGAAUUGAUUUUCUUUGAUCUCCAUAUGCAGCUUUACAAUCCAGGCAACACACUAUUUUAUACCAUUUGGAAUUGGUGCUGCCGCAAGGUUUGAUCUAUGUCCUAUUUCAAAAGAGAUGCAAGUGGCAUAUGCAUUAUUUCUGUGUACUGAGAUUUUCUGUAGCAUUCGAGUGUCAAAUCAAUUAGGAGCUGGAAAUCCACAGCCAGCUCGGUUGGCUACCCGUGUUGCGGUGGCUCUUGCUGCCGCAGAGGCAGCCAUAGUGAGCAUAGCUCUAUUCUGCAGCCGAUAUGUCUUGGCAUAUGCAUUCAACAGUGACCAGGACGUCGUGAAAUAUGUGUCUAGAUUAGCUCCUCUGCUUAGUAUUGCUAUAUUCAUGGACAACAUGCAAUCGGUACUUUCCGGUGAGAAUCCUAACAUUCUAUCAGGAUUUAUUUGCACUCAUCUAAUGCUUAAAUAGCAGUGAACAUGCAGCUAAUAAUUUAAUUUUCGCGAAUUUACCUUUCUCGUCAGGGGUAGCUAGAGGAAUUGGGUGGCAGCACAUAAGGGCUUAUAUAAAUCUUGGUGCAUUUUAUCUCGUUGGAAUCCCGGUAGCGUAUGUGCUAUGUUUUUCAGUUCAUCUCAGAACGAAAGGCCUUUUGCUUGGAUUAAUGUCAGGCUCAACCGUACAAGCAGUUGCGCUUGCCGUCGUUACUUCAUUAACCAAUUGGCAAAAACAGGUUUCUGUAAUUCAUUUUUACUUUUGUUCUACGUGUUUGUUUCUUUGACAAUAUAUUAAUCAUCCUCUAAUCUGUUGGCUGACACUGAAUUUUUCAUAAUUUCAUGUGGAUAUUUUUCCAGGCAACCAUGGUCAGGGAAAGAAUAUUGGAGGGAGCACCUUCUACUGAAAAUCCAUCGGUUUGAUCCACCUGGGCUAGUAAUUAAUUACCCUGUUUUGUUUUUCAUCGUAACAAAUUACAUUCUCGAGACGAGAGCUGUAAAAUUUAACAGUGCUGGCAUUCUGACAAGCACCGGGUGACAAUUAUCGAACAGUUGGUAAGCAGAAGCAAAUAAACCCAACAAUAAGCACUAAUUUUUUAUAACAGCUAGUCAGCUACCACAAACAAUUUUUUUUUUCUUUAUAAUGAACUUCAGAAGAGAGAGAGAGGGGGGUAAAAAGCUAUAAUAAUAAUUAAAAAAAAAAAACUUAGAAAUAACUCCUAAUAAUAAUAAUAAUCAGGUGGAUCAUAGUACGCCACUACGCCUUAUAAUUCGUAAUAAAAGUAUACUGCUGAAACAUAAAUUUAAAAAAAAAAAAAAAAACACUCGAUGAGAUAACAAUACAAAGAAACAGCUAAACCAAUUAUUUAGAAAACCAUAUUUGCAUACCACAAACUAAUUUAAAGAUAACGUACGAUAUAACAGCAGUAGCAGAAAUAAGGUUGAUACAAUAAUUAAUGAAGCUCUACGCUACACCAAUUAGUGGUACCAUACCAUGCAUGAUCCAUCACACAGAGGAAAAAGAAAAAAAAAAAAGAUUUUAUUUAGCUUACUAUAUAUAUACGUAUUGCCAGCAGCCUGCAUGCUAGUACGGGGGAGGGGGAGGAUGAGGAGGGCGGUUCCAAGGCGGCGUUGGCCUGUAGGGAUCAUAGUUAUAAGGAGGUGCGGGACCGGGGGGGCCCGGAGGCGCUGCAAAAGGAGGGGGUGGAGAGUGAUGGUGAUGGUACCGAGGAGGUGGUGGAGGAGGCGGAUGGAACAAUUCGGGGCGGGGUGGCGGUGGUGGUGGAGGUGAAGGACCGUAAACGUGAGGUGGCGGCGGUGGGUGAGGAGCAUAUGGAUCUGCUGCCGCUGGUGGUGGUGGUGGUGGUGGAGGACCUGGACCUGGACGGUGGUGUCUAUGAAAUGCCAUGUUUUUGAAAGUUAGGUGAUCAAUACAAAGUGCUGUGCUGUUGUUUUUGUUUUAAGGGAUUUGGAGUUGUUUGUAUGUAUUUCCUUUGACGGUUCGUCGGAUGACGUGCCCAUGUUUGUGCCUCGGCUUCCUCAGCCAAUCAGAUUUUUAUUUUUGUCAAAAUUCGUUUCGUCUCCUCAUAUACUCCGUUUCAAGAGUGCAUCAUAUUU